AUGGUCAGAAGGAAUGGUACAACAGUACUGUCCUUUAUCCAUAAAAUUAGUGCAGUGAAAGGAAUAUUUGAUCUUGUACUGUAUACUAUUUUCUCAUAUAAGACCUUUUGUUCUUAUCUUCUAAUCUUCAGAGGCUUCAUAAUGCAUAUUAAUAAAGCAUGCUUAGAAGGUUUAAAAACUGUAAGAGAGUCUUCAUUCCCUUGUCUUCAUAAGUGUUCAGAACCUUGGUCUUUAAUAGCCUUCAGAGCUUGGUCUUCUGAAUCUUCUGAACUUGGUAUUCAAAGUCUUCAGAACUUGUAG